rnacentral:rRNA from 1 species
UAGGGAAUCUUCGGCAAUGGACGGAAGUCUGACCGAGCAACGCCGCGUGAGUGAAGAAGGUUUUCGGAUCGUAAAGCUCUGUUGUAAGAGAAGAACGAGUGUGAGAGUGGAAAGUUCACACUGUGACGGUAUCUUACCAGAAAGGGACGGCUAACUACGUGCCAGCAGCCGCGGUAAUACGUAGGUCCCGAGCGUUGUCCGGAUUUAUUGGGCGUAAAGCGAGCGCAGGCGGUUAGAUAAGUCUGAAGUUAAAGGCUGUGGCUUAACCAUAGUACGCUUUGGAAACUGUUUAACUUGAGUGCAAGAGGGGAGAGUGGAAUUCCAUGUGUAGCGGUGAAAUGCGUAGAUAUAUGGAGGAACACCGGUGGCGAAAGCGGCUCUGUGGCUUGUAUGUGACUGUAACUGACGCUGAGGGUCGAAAGCGUGGAGAGCAAACAUGAUUAGAUACCCUGGUAGUCCACGCCGUANACGAUGACUGCUAGGUGUUAGACCCUUUCCGGGGUUUAGUGCCGUAGCUGACGCAUUAAGCACUCCGCCUGGGGAGUACGACCGCAAGGUUG